rnacentral:rRNA from 1 species
CCUACGGGGGGCAGCAGUGGGGAAUAUUGGACAAUGGGCGAAAGCCUGAUCCAGCCAUGCCGCGUGUGUGAAGAAGGCCUUCGGGUUGUAAAGCACUUUCAGUGGGGAAGAAAGCCUUGGGGCUAAUACCCUCGAGGAAGGACAUCACCCACAGAAGAAGCACCGGCUAACUCCGUGCCAGCAGCCGCGGUAAUACGGAGGGUGCGAGCGUUAAUCGGAAUUACUGGGCGUAAAGCGCGCGUAGGCGGUCUGAUAAGCCGGUUGUGAAAGCCCCGGGCUCAACCUGGGAACGGCAUCCGGAACUGUCAGGCUAGAGUGCAGGAGAGGAAGGUAGAAUUCCCGGUGUAGCGGUGAAAUGCGUAGAGAGCGGGAGGAAUACCAGUGGCGAAGGCGGUCUUCUGGACUGACACUGACGCUGAGGUGCGAAAGCGUGGGUAGCAAACAGGAUUAGAUACCCUGGUAGUC